UGGGGGAUUAGCUCAGCUGGCUAGAGCACCUGCUUUGCAAGCAGGGGGUCAUCGGUUCGAAUCCGAUAUUCUCCACUUG
rnacentral:tRNA from 1 species